rnacentral:misc_RNA from 1 species
GAUGAAGAACGUAGCGAAAUGCGAAAAGUAAUGUGAAUUGCAGAAUUCAGUGAAUCAUCGAAUCUUUGAACGCACAUUGCGCCCGCUGGUACUCCGGCGGGCACGCCUGUCCGAGCGUCAUUUCAACCCUCAAGCCCUCCUUCGGGAUGGGCCUGGUGUUGGGGCUCGGCCGCCAUCUCCGGCGGCCGUCCCCUAAAUACAGUGGCGGUCACGUCGCGACUCCUUUGCGUAGUAGAAACACCUCGCUCCGGAUAGCAACGCGGUCCACGCCGUAAAACCCCCAAUUUUCAAUGGUAGACCUCGGAUCAGGUGGGAAUACCCGCUGAACUUAAGCAUAUCAAUAAGCGGAGGA